rnacentral:rRNA from 1 species
AAUAUUGGACAAUGGGGGCAACCCUGAUCCAGCCAUGCCGCGAGUGUGAAGAAGGUCUNCGGAUUNUNAAGCACUUUAAGUUGGGNAGAUGGGCUUUAGGUUAAUACCCUGAAGUUUUGACGUUACCAAGAGAUUAAGCACCGGCUCACUCUGUGCCAGCAGCCGCGGUAAUACGACGGGUGCAAGCGUUAAUCGGAAUUACUGGGCGUAAAGCGCGCGUAGGUUGUUCAGUAAGAUGGUUGUGAAAUCCCCGGGCUUAACCUGGGAAAUGCUUUCAUAACUGCUGAGCUAGAGUACGGUAGAGAGUAGUGGAAUUUCCUGUGUAGCGGUGAAAUGCGUAGAUAUAGGAAGGAACACCAGUGGCGAAGGCGACUACCUGGACUGAUACUGACACUGAGGUGCGAAAGCGUGGGGAGCAAAC